AAAUUGCCUAUCUUAAGGGAGCAUUCCCAUACAUUCAACUCUACACAAUUUCCAUUUCUUUGAUCCCCGUCUUUUUCUUUUCUUUUUCUUUUUACAUCCACACAACCAUGAGCCUUUUCUUUGUUUUUUUUUUCUUUUCUUUUUCUUUGCUCUAUGGUUUCAAGGGUGAUUUCUUUUUCUUGUUUCUUUUCAUAUUUUCACCCUUUCAUAAAAACUCACUUUUCCAAGUUUCUAAUCAAAUCUUUUUACUUUACUCUCCCCAACUUUAG
rnacentral:lncRNA from 1 species